GUCUAUGGCCAUACCACCCUGAAUGCCCCUGAUCUUGUCUGAUCUCAGAAGCUAAGCAGGGUCGGGCCUGGAAUAUAUAGAUU
rnacentral:rRNA from 1 species